GCCGAAGUGGCGGAACUGGUAGACGCGCUAGGUUCAGGGUCUAGUCGAUGUACGUCGGUGGGAGUUCGAGUCUCCCCUUCGGCACCA
rnacentral:tRNA from 1 species